CUCCUCUCAGGGUGGCCCCUGAAGAGUUUCCAAUACUCUACCAAUCUCGGCUGUGGGAGGGAGAGUGAAGCAGAGGCAUACCCAUUCCAUUCCUAGCUUGGUCAGUGGCUAGCGAUUGGAAGGCAACCUGCUACAAGU